AGGCCACUGCUAUCGGAGUUCGAUUAAGCCAUGCGAGUCGAGAGGUGUAAGACCUCGGCAUACUGCUCAGUAACACGUGGACAACCUACCCUGAAGUGAGGGAUAACCCCGGGAAACUGGGGAUAAUACCUCAUAGACUAUGGAUGCUGGAAUGCUCUGUAGUUCAAAGGUCCGCCGCUUCAGGAUGGGUCUGCGGCCGAUUAGGUAGUUGUUGGGGUAACGGCCCAACAAGCCUGUAAUCGGUACGGGUUGUGGGAGCAAGAGCCCGGAGAUGGAUUCUGAGACACGAAUCCAGGCCCUACGGGGCGCAGCAGGCGCGAAAACUUUACAAUGCGAGCAAUCGUGAUAAGGGAACUCCGAGUGCCUGUAAAAUCAGGCUGUCCGCCAGUGUAAAUAACUGGUGAAGAAAGGGCCGGGCAAGACCGGUGCCAGCCGCCGCGGUAAUACCGGCGGCUCGAGUGGUGGCCACUAUUACUGGGCUUAAAGCGUUCGUAGCUGGUCUGUUAAGUCUCUGGGGAAAUCUUCCGGCUUAACCGGAAGGCGUCUCAGGGAUACUGGCAGACUAGGGACCGGAAGAGGUGAGAGGUACUUCAGGGGUAGGGGUGAAAUCCUGUAAUCCUUGAGGGACCACCUGUGGCGAAGGCGUCUCACCAGGACGGCUCCGACAGUGAGGAACGAAAGCUGGGGGAGCAAACCGGAUUAGAUACCCGGGUAGUCCCAGCUGUAAACGAUGCACGUCAGGUGUAUCGGUGACCACGAGUCACCGAGGUGCCGAAGAGAAAUCGUGAAACGUGCCGCCUGGGAAGUACGGUCGCAAGGCUGAAACUUAA
rnacentral:rRNA from 1 species